UACGUAGGGGGCAAGCGUUGUUCGGAAUUACUGGGCGUAAAGGGCGCGUAGGCGGCGCUCCAAGUUAGGCGUGAAAGCCCCGGGCUCAACCUGGGAAUUGCGCUUAAGACUGGAGUGCUCGAGUGCGGAAGAGGUGAGUGGAAUUCCCAGUGUAGAGGUGAAAUUCGUAGAUAUUGGGAAGAACACCAGUGGCGAAGGCGGCUCACUGGUCCGCAACUGACGCUGAGGCGCGAAAGCGUGGGGAGCAAACAGG
rnacentral:rRNA from 1 species